rnacentral:rRNA from 1 species
UACGUAGGGUGCAAGCGUUAAUCGGAAUUACUGGGCGUAAAGCGCACGUAGUCGGCUUUGCAAGUCGGGUGUGAAAUCCCCGGGCUCAACCUGGGAACUGCAUCCGAGACUGCAUUGCUAGAGUAUGGGAGAGGGAAGCGGAAUUUCUGGUGUAGCAGUGAAAUGCGUAGAUAUCAGAAGGAACAUCAGUGGCGAAGGCGGCUUCCUGGACCAAUACUGACGAUCAGGUGCGAAAGCGUGGGGAGCAAACAGG